UGAUUCUCCUGGCAGGGAGAUAGCAUGAUCACAGAGGUUUUCCCAGGAGAGGCUUAUCCAUUGCACUCCGGAGGUGCUGACCCCUGCCAUUUCCCCAAAUGCGGGGAAACUCCACUGCAUAAUUUGUGGUAGUCGGGGACUGCAUUCUCGGUCUCCCCUA